UACGUAGGGUGCGAGCGUUAAUCGGAAUUACUGGGCGUAAAGCGUGCGCAGGCGGUUGUGCAAGACAGAUGUGAAAUCCCCGGGCUCAACCUGGGAAUGGCAUUUGGGACUGCAAGGCUGGAGUGUGGCAGAGGAGACUGGAAUUCCUGGUGUAGCAGUGAAAUGCGUAGAUAUCAGGAGGAAUACCGAUGGCGAAGGCAGGUCUCUGGGCUGACACUGACGCUCAUGCACGAAAGCGUGGGGAGCAAACAGG
rnacentral:rRNA from 1 species